rnacentral:tRNA from 1 species
ACCUGGGUGGCUCAGCUGGUUAAGCAUCUGACUUCGGCUCAGGUCAUGAUCUCAUGGUUCGUGAGUUCAAGCCCCGCAUCAGGUU